AGAGUUUGAUCAUGGCUCAGGACGAACGCUGGCGGCGUGCUUCAUACAUGCAAGUCGAACGAGAAGUAACCUUCGGGUUAUGGAAAGUGGCGGACGGGUGAGUAAUAUGUAGGAAAUCUGCCCUUAAGAGGGGGACAACAGAGGGAAACUUCUGCUAAUACCCCAUAUGAGCGUAGCUGAAAUGCUAUUCUUGAAAACUCCGGUGCUUAAGGAUGAGCCUGCAUCUGAUUAGCUAGUUGGGGGUGUAAUGGACCACCAAGGCGACGAUCAGUAGCUGGUUUGAGAGGAUGAUCAGCCACAAUGGGACUGAGACACGGCCCAUACUCCUACGGGAGGCAGCAGUAGGGAAUUUUGCGCAAUGGGCGAAAGCCUGACGCAGCAACGCCGCGUGAUUGAAGAAGCCCUUCGGGGUGUAAAGAUCUGUCAGUGGGGACGAAACUUGACGGUACCCACAGAGGAAGCAUCGGCUAACUCCGUGCCAGCAGCCGCGGUAAUACGGGGGAUGCUAGCGUUGUCCGGAAUCAUUGGGCGUAAAGAGUUCGUAGGUGGCCUGUUAAGUCUGGUGUUAAAUGCAGAGGCUCAACUUCUGUUGGGCACAGGAUACUGGCAAGCUUGAAUGCGGUAGAGGUAAMSGSAAUUCMUGGUGUAGCGGUGAAAUGCGUAGAUAUCAGGAGGAACAUCGGAGGCGAAAGCGCUUUACUGGGCCGUAAUKGACAGAGAGGAACGAAAGCCAGGGUAGCAAAUGGGAUUAGAUACCCCAGUAGUCCUGGCCGUAAACGAUGGAUACUAGGUGUAGCGGGUAUCGACCCCUGCUGUGCCGAAGCUAACGCGAUAAGUAUCCCGCCUGGGGAGUACGCACGCAAGUGUGAAACUCAAAGGAAUGACGGAAGGGCGA
rnacentral:rRNA from 1 species